rnacentral:sRNA from 1 species
GACUCACGGUCCAACAAGCAGAAGUUUUUAGGCUAUCAAUUAAGGAGCAACUGCAGAAGCGAAGUGUUAAUUUCAUUUGAUGUAGCUCCAAGCAGUGUGCACGGUGAUGAUUCAUGGAGAAAGGUGUGCACGGGAAUUAAUUAAAAGCUCAAGUCUUUUCUUUGCUGGAAGGAGACACGGUGCAUUUACAUUUUGUUUGCAAACGCUGAUUCAAUUGCAGGGAAUAUUAAUUGGUUUAUUUUCUAGCAAUGUUACGCACUUUUCAUUUAUAUUUUAUUUCAGCAAUGCAGA